CAGUUAUUGGGUAUCAAAACCUAAUAGCGAAAUUAACAUAACUUAUUAUGGGAUUAGUUUUUAGAUUAUUUAUAGUCUAUUAAUUCAAUCCCGGGGCGUUCUAUUUGGUUAUGUAUAAUAAUAUUUAUAUUAUUUAUACCUCUAACUAGAGCGUACCUUGAGCAUAUAUGCUGUGACCCGAAAGAUGGUGAACUAUACUUGAUCAGGUUGAAGUCAGGGGAAACCCUGAUGGAAGACCGAAACAGUUCUGACGUGCAAAUCGAUUGUCAGAAUUGAGUAUAGGGGCGAAAGACCAAUCGAACCAUCUAGUAGCUGGUUCCCUCCGAAGUUUCCCUCAGGAUAGCUGGUGCAUUUAGAAAUUAUGUAAAAUAAUCUUAUCUGGUAAAGCGAAUGAUUAGAGGCCUUAGGGUCGAAACGACCUUAACCUAUUCUCAAACUUUAAAUGGGUAAGAACCUCACCUUUCUUGGUAUGAAGGUUGUGGUUGUGAUAUAAUGUGCCCAGUGGGCCACUUUUGGUAAGCAGAACUGGCGCUGUGGGAUGAACCAAACGUAAUGUUACGGUGCCCAAAUUAACAACUCA
rnacentral:rRNA from 1 species